GGAGAGUACCCGAAUGGCAGGAAGCGCCUUCGAAAGGCGUGGCGGUACCCAUCCCGCAGAGGGUUCGAUUCCCUUGCUCUCCGC
rnacentral:tRNA from 1 species